UUUUAAUAUUUUUGAACAAAGUGAAUUGCUAUUUUGCUUACCUAUAUGAAUUUAAUAAAACUAUUGAGGUGGGUUUAUUGUACAAGUAUGUAUGAUAAGAACAUUAACCCAGACAAUAUUCUACGUGUGGCAGGACCUUCCAUUGCAGAAGCAUCACAUAAAAAUAGCUUUUAUUAAUUUGAAGAUUGAUCGACUUUCCUUCUUUCUUUUUCCUCCCACAGAUUUUUGGCCAAUUCACUGCUCACUAACAUCUCCAUCAAAGGGAAAAACACACAUUGUAAAAUAAGAAUUCUUCAAAGACAACUUGAAGACAUCUGGGAAUUCUGAAGCCUGAAAAUUCCAUGAGUUCAUAGCAGUGUUCACUAAUUCCACUGAUCUAAAGACAAAAAGGAGAGUCAACUGCGUGCCCAAACUCAUUUCUGAUGAUUUCUUCCAUCCUAACUUUUCUGCCUCUCUGGGGGUGGUUAUGCCUGUGAAAAACAUUGAAGCUGUCAGGAACAGAGUCGGCUUUCAAGAUUGGAAUGUCAAAGUAGAGUCUUCUUUUCCUCAGACCAGAAGGGGCUUGGUUGGGUAAGAGUUUCCAGAUCUAAAUGGAGACAGGACUGGGAUAUAGGAGCUUGUACGGAUAAACAACACAAACACCUUGGGUAAGUGAUACACCAAGAGAGAUCAAAAUAGGGUAGGAACACGAUCCUAAAGCUAUGUGAGAUACGAAGCCAAGAGACCCUGUCUACAGGCUGAUAUGUAUUGCAACCAGAGGCCACCUACACUCAAGAAAAUUCUAAAUGAUGUAAUAGGUUGUGGACACUUUCUUGUAAAAAUGAUCGAUAUUUUUUUCUUAUAGGGAUAAAGCUUAAAAGCAUGGGAUGUAUCUCCAUUAGGAAAUAUGAAGUGAGUUGGUAUAUUACAGGUAGGUUAGACUGAGAUAAUUAUAAAACUGGGCUGAUUUUACAUAGAGAAGAACUUGAUUCCUAAAGGUGUUGAAGGACAAGAUGGGGACAGUUAUUGAAGUGUUCAGGUGCUGUCCUUUGUAGUCUGUAGCCUAUUAAAAUAAUACACAACUGAACACAGACCCAAGGAAAGGGGUUCUACUCAUCGCUAGAAUGUAAACUCUAAGAAGAUAAGGAUUUUGUCUGCUUCAUUUAUUACUGUAUUCCCAGCUCCUAAAAGAGUGUCCAGCACUUAGUAUCUGUUGGUAAGUACCUGUUGAAUUAAUUAACCAGUGAUGAGACUUUGGAAAGCAGCUAGUCCAUCUGUAAGAUUGUUUUCUCAUCUGUGAGAUGAGUCAGUUAGAUUAGAUGUUUUCUAAGCUUAUUCUAGUUUUAAAAUUGUAUAUUUCUAUAAGAAAUGAUAAAUGAAAAAUGUCCAUUCCUUUUUCAUCUCCAUCACCCAUCUCACAUCUUCCUUCAGUGCCUAUGUGAUCUGUUUGAGUAUAACCAGGUGUACAAAAGUACUAAGUGAUAUGAGAUGACUUCAGUAGUCCAGGGACUCUUUCUUCCCCCACUCUGUAAAGAGUUAUUUGCUUAAUUUAAUGUACAUUAUAAAAACAGAAUUUGUUUCUCAAUUUCAUUUAUACUCAUACUAUAGUUUACUUUUCACAUAAAUUUAAGGUACAAGGAAGUCAACUUAAAGAAAAUAUUUUAAGUAAAUUAUAAUGCAAGUUCUACACAGAUGUAGCGCAAACCACAAUGGUAGGACACAAGCAAUUGCUAUUUGAGAAAUAGGCCUCUUUGUCAGUACUUAUGGCACGUAUCUUAAAACCCGACUUUCACUAGUGCUCUCAAAGGAACUUAGUCACAAUUCAAGUGACCAUACCAUUUAGCUGAGGGCCCUUUAUUCCUGUUUAUGGUAAAAUAAUUGCCUUAGUUGUACUUUUAAAAAAUAUACUUUUUCUUCUUCUGACCGUAAUGGGCUAACUGCCAUUAAAGAGACCAUCUAUCAUAAACGAUUAGAGAACUGGAUAGAAUAUAUGAAGCCACUGUUUUUGGACAAUAGGCAGCACAAAACGAUGAUCCCUGAGAAAAAGGAAGGAAAUGAGGUGAUGCCUAUAAUUGCCCUGAUUUUUUGCCUGGAGAUACUGUCUGAACUGCUACUCUGGAAAGGAAAACUCAGGUGAAACAUGGGGCCUCACUAAGUAGAGGAGACAGGGUCAAUAUUGGGAAAGCUGAAAUGACUGGAAUUUGCAGGGCAGAAUAUGGGGAAGGAAGGAGCUAUGUAGGGAAAGAGCUCAAGAAAUACGCACAAAGGGGUCGGGUGCGGUGGCUCACGCCUGUAAUCCCAGCACUUUGGGAGGCCGAGGUGGGCAGGUUACUUGAGGCUAGGAGUUCAAGACCAGCCUGACCAACCUGGUGAAACUCUGUCUCUACUAAAAAUACAAAAAUUAACCGGGCAUGGCCGGAUGCGGUGGCUCCUGCCUGUAAUCCCAGCACUUUGGGAGGCCGAAGCGGGUGGAUCACAAGAUCAGGAAUUCGAGACCAGCCUGACCAACAUGGUGAAACCCUUUCUCUACUAAAAAUACAAAUAUUAGCUGGGUGUGGUGGUGCAUGCCUGUAAUUCUAGCUACUCAGGAGGCUGAGGCAGGAGAAUCGCUUGAACCCAGAAGGCGGAGGUUGCAGUGAGCCAAGACCGUGCCACUACACUCCAGCCUGAGAGACAGAGCAAAACUCCAUCUCAAAAAAAAAAAAAAAAAAAAAAAAUUAGUCAGGCAUGGUGGCAGGCACCUGUAAUCCCAGCUACUCAUAGGCUGAGGCACAAGAAUCACUUGAACCCAGGUGGCAGAAGUCACAGUGAGUGAAGAUCGCACCACUGCAUUUCCAGCCUGAGUGACAAAGUGAGAGACUGUCUCAAAAAUAAAAAUAAAAAUAAAAGAAUAUGCAAAGGAUGUUCUUGAGUUUUUGGCUGAUUAUGAAACUAUAUAGGGUAAGACUCCACAAGUGAAAGAACAGUACUUGGAAAGACAAUUACUGAAGAACUAUAAACUGAACAACUACCAGAUCUCCUCCUGAACUGAAAUAUAUUCAAGUUCCAGCCAAAGUCGAGACACACAAUUGAAUUUAUGCAUCAUUUAGUAGAGACCCCAAAAUAUUCAUGCCUCAGUAGUAAUGCAAAAUUGUCCCUACAAUAAAAACUACAGUAGCUCCCCCUUAUCCAUAGUCUUACUUCCUGGAGCUUCAGUUACCCACAGUCAACUUCAGUCCAAAAAUAUUCAAUGGAAAAUCUCAGAAAUAAGCAAUUCAUAAAUUUUAAAUUGUACACUGUUCUGAGUAGCAUAACGAAAUUUCAAGCCAGCCCACUCUGUCCCACCCAGAACAUGAAUCAUCCCUUUGUCCAGUAUAUGCUACCCUCCCAUUGGUCACUUAGGUUAUCAGAAUGACUGUGGCAGUAUCGCAGUGCUUAUACACAAGUAACCGUUGUUUCGUUUAAUAACAGCCCCCACAUGCAAGAAUAGCAAUGCUGGCAAUUUGGAUAAGCCAAAGAGAAGCCACAAAGUACUUCAAGUAAAAAUGUGAAAGUUCUUGACUUAACAAGGAAAAAAAAGUCAUGCUGAGGCAGCUGAGAUCUACAGUAAGAACACAUCUUCUAUCCUUGGAAUUGUGAAGAAGGAAAAAGAUAUUUGCUAGUUUUGCUGUUGCACCUCAAACUGCAAAAGUUACCACCACGGUUCAUGCAAAGUGCUUAGUUAAGAUGGAAAAGGAGUUACAUUUGUGGGUGCAAGACAUGAACAGAGAGGCAUUCCAAUCAAUAGCAAUCAGGUUCAGGGGGUACCUUCCUCAGUUUCAGGCAUCCACAGGGGGUCUUGGAAAGUAUUCCCCAUGGAGGGGGGCGGGGAGGGCUACUGUACUCCAUACUUGUUCUAAUAAAACUUUUUAGAAAUCUCAAA
rnacentral:lncRNA from 1 species